CAUGAACCUUGAGAUCAUGACCUGAGCUGAAGGCAGAUACUUAACCGACUGAGCCACACAUUCAAUUUUCAAACAAAUGACAGAUAUUGUAUAAAACAUGAAAAUGAAAAAUAAAUGUAAAAUGUUAUUUCUUGAAACUAUUGACUGAAAUAAUUUGGCUUUACUUUCAACCAGAAGUAGGAGAGAGUUGUUUAUUGAGUUAAAAAAAGUAUUUGAAGAAAAUAUGAUCCCUUUUAUUAUAUAGAGAUAUGUAAAUUGCACAAAGAAACUAGUUUCUUUACUUGAUUUGAAUAUCACAUUUCAUUCCUGCAAAGUCAUUCCAGUGCCUGGUGUCUAUUAUAGAUGAAAUGCCACAGUGCCUUUCUGGUCUGGAGAAUUUUAAGGAAAAUAGCCUGUAACAGUGUUCCCAGUGUGAUAUUUCAUAGAAAUAGUUCUACAGGCUCAGGGAGACAGACAUACACACGGCAUACAAACAAACUGAUAUACACAUGUACAAACUUACACUGACUUUGAAACACACGUAUUUUUUUUUUUUUUUUAUAGGAUUUUUUAAAGUUUAUUUGUUUAUUUUGAGAGAGAGCAAGAGAGCGUGUGCUUGAGUGAGGGAGGGACAGAGACAGACGGGGAGAGAGGAUCCCAUGCAAGCGUGGCACUGUAGCCCUACUCAGAGCUUACCUCACAAACCGUGAGAUCAUGACCUGAGCUAGAAUCAAGAGUCAGAUGCCUGACUGAGCCACCCAGGCUCCCUGAAACACACAUAUUGUAAAAUUUACUACAUAAAUUGUAUAUUGUGCAGAAGGGGGAAAUCAAAUUUCAUUUAACUCUUCAUUUUUGUUUUGUUUUGUUUUUGACUUUCUAAAAUCCUAAGCCAACAUUGUGGCAUUAUGGGAACAUUGCAUCAUGGGAAGGACCUGAACAGGGUGGAUGCUGUUUCUUGGUCACUGUUUUGGCCGUCAGAGUGAAGAAUGACCAUUUAUAUCCUUUUCAGAGUAAUGCCUGAAAUAGGAAUUUUUUCAUGUCUGGAUGUGCAAUCCUUAGACUCUGAUUUCAAAUAUUACUUACAAUCUCAUAUGGUGUUGACAAUAAUGGAACAGUAAGUUACCUAAUGUGUUAUUAUUUGGUAGAGAGUUAAUUAUUUUUACUCUUUAUUUUUGGUAGUACUCUUUUAGGAUCCUAAACAAAUUUCUCUCUUUACCUUUUGGAAAAUCCUUUAUUAUUUGUUGAGCAUUGAUCACUGUUUCUGGCUCUCCUGGAAGAAACGUCAACAUUGCCCUGGUUUGUGGAGUGUUUGCUGGAAGCACCUUUGAUAAUGUCAGAAAUGAUGUCAUUACUGUUCUGGGAGGAGUGUGUUUUCCACGAACUUGCGUUUCUUCUUCCAUACAGCACUGAUAAUGGCAAAAAACAAGUAUUUGUCAAAGCAUCAUGUGAUGACUGAACCCACACUCUGGAUUUUCACACCGUUGAGUUUCUCACUUGCAGUGAUCACUCCCUCAACAUCGGAUAUCCAAGCCUAUGGAG